GAUGAACGCUGGCGGCGUGCCUAAUACAUGCAAGUCGAGCGAACAGACGAGGAGCUUGCUCCUCUGACGUUAGCGGCGGACGGGUGAGUAACACGUGGAUAACCUACCUAUAAGACUGGGAUAACUUCGGGAAACCGGAGCUAAUACCGGAUAAUAUAUUGAACCGCAUGGUUCAAUAGUGAAAGACGGUUUUGCGUCACUUAUAGAUGGAUCCGCGCCGCAUUAGCUAGUUGGUAAGGUAACGGCUUACCAAGGCAACGAUGCGUAGCCGACCUGAGAGGGUGAUCGGCCACACUGGAACUGAGACACGGUCCAGACUCCUACGGGAGGCAGCAGUAGGGAAUCUUCCGCAAUGGGCGAAAGCCUGACGGAGCAACGCCGCGUGAGUGAUGAAGGUCCUCGGAUCGUAAAACUCUGUUAUUAGGGAAGAACAAAUGUGUAAGUAACUAUGCACGUCUUGACGGUACCUAAUCAGAAAGCCACGGCUAACUACGUG
rnacentral:rRNA from 1 species